GGUGAGUCGGGUCCUAAGGCGAGGCCGACAGGCGUAGUCGAAUGGAUGAACGGGUGGAUAUUCCCGUACCGACCAUGGACCGGCAAAACCGAGACGGUGAGUACUAACCUCCGCCUCGUGGUGGUUCCUUCCUUCGGGUUGGUGUCGCCGCGUGGUGUUGGGAGCGUAGCCGCAGUAGGUCAGCGCAGGGGUGACACGGAAUGGGAGCCGGCCGCGGAGGUGGUUUUCCGUGGUCAAGCACGCAGCCAGUCAUGUAGGCAAAUCCGCAUGGCGCGCAUGGCGAGGUGUGAUGAUGGGAGCCGUUAUGGCUCGAUAUCCGGUUGUCCAGGCCGUCGAGAAAAGCCUCGGCGUGAGGGCCAUGGCCGCCCGUACCCCAAACCGACACUGGUGGUCAGGUAGAGAAUACCAAGGCGAUCGAGCGAAUCCUGGUCAAGGAACUCGGCAAAUCACUCCCGUGCCUUCGGUAUAAGGGAGACCCGCUGGGGUGAACCGGCUAGCCCGGGGAGCUUUGGUGGGUGGCACAGACCAGGGGGUAGCGACUGUUUACCAAAAACACAGGUGCAUGCGAAGGCGAAAGCCGCUGUAUAUGCACUGACGCCUGCCCGGUGCCGGAAGGUUAAGAGGAUCCGUCAAUCCCUUCGGGAUGAAGCGGUGAAUUCAAGCCCCGGUAAACGGCGGUGGUAACUAUAACCAUCCUAAGGUAGCGAAAUUCCUUGUCGGGUAAGUUCCGACCUGCACGAAUGGCGUAACGACUUCCCCACUGUCUCGACCAGGAGCUCGGCGAAAUUGCAGUACGAGUAAAGAUGCUCGUUAAGCGCAGAAGGACGAAAAGACCCCGGGACCUUUACUAUACCUUGGUAUUGGCGUUAGGCGCGGAUUGUGUAGCAUAGGCGGGAGGCUUCGAAGCGGGUGCGCCAGCAUUCGUGGAGCCGCAAGGUGAAAUACCGCUCUGUUCUCGUUUGACGUCUAACCUCGACAAGUCAUCCUUGUCAGGGACAGUGCCUGGCGGGUAGUUCAACUGGGGCGGUUGCCUCCCAAAGAGUAACGGAGGCGCUCAAAGGUCCGCUCAGCCCGGUUGGCAAUCGGGUGUCGAGUGUAAUCGCACAAGCGGGCUUGACUGCGAGGACGACGGUCCGAGCAGGGACGAAAGUCGGAGAUAGUGAUCCGGUGCCGGCGCACGGGCGCGGCAUCGCUCAACGGAUAAAAGGUACCCCGGGGAUAACAGGCUGAUCAUUCCCAAGAGUCCAUAUCGACGGGAUGGUUUGGCACCUCGAUGUCGGCUCGUCGCAUCCUGGGGCUGGAGCAGGUCCCAAGGGUUCGGCUGUUCGCCGAUUAAAGCGGCACGCGAGCUGGGUUCAGAACGUCGUGAGACAGUUUGGUCUCUAUCCUCUGCGCUCGUUGGAAUCCUGAGGAGGCCUGCCCAUAGUACGAGAGGACCUGGGUGGACGAACCUCUGGUAUGCCGGUUGUCGCGCCAGCGGCACGGCCGGUUGGCUACGUUCGGGAGGGAUAACCGCUGAAAGCAUCUAAGCGGGAAGCCUGCUCCAAGAUUAGGAUUCCAUGGAUCUUCGAGAUCCUGUAGCCCGCAUGUUGAACACGUGUUUGAUAGGCCGGAGGUGGAAGCCCCGUGAGGGGUGGAGCCGACCGGUACUAACGGGCGACGGCGACACAA
rnacentral:rRNA from 1 species